AGUGAGGCUAUGAAGACUCGGGCAGCAAUCUCAUGACCAGUUGUUUGAAAUUGGCAAACUCUUGCCUUAAAUCGUUGUAUUCCUGGUCACGUCUUUCUAGUCGAUGCGUGAGUUGGAAAACGGUGUCAUUAGCAUUGGUGGAAGAAGAUGGUUGGUGCUUAAGACUACCUAUUCCCACCAUGUAAUUUACAACAAGUUGUCAUGCCCC
rnacentral:lncRNA from 1 species